AGCUCUAAUAGCAUAUAUUAAAGUUGUUGCAGUUAAAAAGCUCGUAGUUGGAUCUGAGGUUGUUGGUGGGGGUCCAGGUUCCUGCCUGGCUACUCCUGCCGAUGCCUAACUGGUGGGUUGCUGUGGGUGCCCUUGACUGGGUUGCCUGCUGCUCCCGCUCAAUUUACUUUGAAAAAAUUAGAGUGUUCAAAGCAGGCUCCUACGCCUGAAUAAUGGUGCAUGGAAUAAUGAAAUAGGUCCUCGGGUCUAUUUUGUUGGUUUUCGGAACCAGAGGAAAUGAUUAAGAGGGACAGACGUGGGCAUUCGUACUGCGGUGCUAGAGGUGAAAUUCUUGGACCAUCGCAAGACGAACUACUGCGAAAGCAUUUGCCAAGAAUGUUUUCAUUAAUCAAGAACGAAA
rnacentral:rRNA from 1 species